AAGUCGAACGGACUUUAACCGAAAAGUUUACUUUUUGGAAGCGGUUUAUGGGGGAUUGGUGAGUUAUGCGAAAGCAAUCUACCUAUUAGAGGGGGAUAACAGUGAGAAAUCCCUGUUUAUUCCGCAUAUGCUGUUAGUACCACAUGGUACAUGCAGGAAAGGAGCAAUCCACUAAUAGAUGAGCUUGCGUCUGAUUAGAUAGUUGGUGGGGUAACGGCCUACCAAGUCGAUGAUCAGUAGCCGGACUGAGAGGUUAAACGGCCACAUUGGGACUGAGAUACGGCCCAGACUCCUACGGGAGGCAGCAGUCGGGAAUAUUGCGCAAUGGAGGAAACUCUGACGCAGUGACGCCGCGUGCAGGAAGAAGGUUUUCGGAUUGUAAACUUCUUUUAUUAAGGACGAAUAAUGACGGUACUUAAUGAAUAAGCUCCGGCUAACUACGUGCCAGCAGCCGCGGUAAUACGUAGGGAGCAAGCGUUGUCCGGAUUUACUGGGUGUAAAGGGUGCGUAGGCGGCUAAGCAAGUCAGAUGUGAAAUCUAUGGGCUCAACCCAUAAACUGCAUUUGAAACUGCAUAGCUUGAGUGAAGUAGAGGCAGGCGGAAUUCCCCGUGUAGCGGUGAAAUGCGUAGAGAUGGGGAGGAACACCAGUGGCGAAGGCGGCCUGCUGGGCUUUAACUGACGCUGAGGCACGAAAGCGUGGGUAGCAAACAGGAUUAGAUACCCUGGUAGUCCACGCUGUAAACGAUGAUUACUAAGUGUGGGGGGUCUGACCCCUUCCGUGCCGGAGUUAACACAAUAA
rnacentral:rRNA from 1 species